rnacentral:rRNA from 1 species
GAUGAACGCUGGCGGCGUGCCUAAUACAUGCAAGUCGAGCGAACAGACGAGGAGCUUGCUCCUCUGACGUUAGCGGCGGACGGGUGAGUAACACGUGGAUAACCUACCUAUAAGACUGGGAUAACUUCGGGAAACCGGAGCUAAUACCGGAUAAUAUAUUGAACCGCAUGGUUCAAUGGUGAAAGACGGUUUUGCUGUCACUUAUAGAUGGAUCCGCGCCGCAUUAGCUAGUUGGUAAGGUAACGGCUUACCAAGGCGACGAUGCGUAGCCGACCUGAGAGAGUGAUCGGCCACACUGGAACUGAGACACGGUCCAGACGCCUACGGGACGCAGCAGUAGGGAAUCUUCCGCAAUGGGCGAAAGCCUGACGGAGCAGCGCCGCGUGAGUGAUGAAGGUCUUCGGAUCGUAAAACUCGGUUAUUAGGGAAGAACAAAUGUGUAAGUAACUAUGCACGUCUUGACGGUACCUAAUCAGAAAGCCACGGCUAACUACGUG